UGGGGAAUUUUGGACAAUGGGGGAAACCCCUGAUCCAGCCAUCCCGCGUGUGCGAUGAAGGCCUUCGGGUUGUAAAGCACUUUUGGCAGGAAAGAAACGUCGCGGGUUAAUACCCCCGCGAAACUGACGGUACCUGCAGAAUAAGCACCGGCUAACUACGUGCCAGCAGCCGCGGUAAUACGUAGGGUGCAAGCGUUAAUCGGAAUUACUGGGCGUAAAGCGUGCGCAGGCGGUUCGGAAACGAAAGAUGUGAAAUCCCAGAGCUUAACUUUUGGAACUGCAUUUUUGAACUACCGGGCUAGAGUGUGUCAGAGGGAGGUGGAAUUCCGCGUGUAGCAGUGAAAUGCGUAGAUAUGCGGAGGAACACCGAUGGCGAAGGCAGCCUCCUGGGAUAACACUGACGCUCAUGCACGAAAGGCGUGGGGAGCAAACAGGAUUUAGAUACCCCUGGGUUAGUCCACGCCCCU
rnacentral:rRNA from 1 species